rnacentral:rRNA from 1 species
GCUUACGGCCAUACCACCCUGAACAUGCCCGAUCUCGGAAGCUAAGCAGGGUCCGGGCCUGGUUAGUACUUGGAUGGGAGACCGCCUGGGAAUACCCAGUGCUGUAAGCU